GAUGAACGCUAGCUAUAGGCUUAACACAUGCCAGUCGAGGGGAAACGGCAUUAUGUGCUUGCACAUUUUGGACGUCGACCGGCGCACGGGUGAGUAUCGCGUAUCCAACCUGCCCUUUACUUGGGGAUACCCCGUUGAAAGACGGCCUAAUACCCGAUGUAAUUCAUUGAUGGCAUCAGAUAUGAAUAAAAGAUUUAUCGGUAAAGGAUGGGGAUGCGUCUGAUUAGCUUGUUGGUGAGGUAACGGCUCACCAAGGCGACGAUCAGUAGGGGUUCUGAGAGGAAGGUCCCCCACAUUGGAACUGAGACACGGUCCAAACUCCUACGGGAGGCAGCAGUGAGGAAUAUUGGUCAAUGGGCGCAAGCCUGAACCAGCCAAGUAGCGUGCAGGAAGACGGCCCUAUGGGUUGUAAACUGCUUUUAUACGAGAAUAAUUUGAUGCACGUGUGCGUUAUUGCAUGUAUCGUAUGAAUAAGGACCGGCUAAUUCCGUG
rnacentral:rRNA from 1 species